GACGUAGGGCGCAAGCGUUGUCCGGAUUUAUUGGGCGUAAAGAGCUCGUAGGCGGCUUGUUGCGUCGACCGUGAAAACCCGUGGCUCAACUGCGGGCUUGCGGUCGAUACGGGCGGGCUAGAGUUCGGUAGGGGAGACUGGAAUUCCUGGUGUAGCGGUGAAAUGCGCAGAUAUCAGGAGGAACACCGGUGGCGAAGGCGGGUCUUUGGGCCGAUACUGACGCUGAGGAGCGAAAGCGUGGGGAGCGAACAGG
rnacentral:rRNA from 1 species